rnacentral:rRNA from 1 species
UACGAAGGGGGCUAGCGUUGCUCGGAAUCACUGGGCGUAAAGCGCACGUAGGCGGAUCUUUAAGUCAGGGGUGAAAUCCCAAGGCUCAACCUUGGAACUGCCUUUGAUACUGGGGAUCUCGAGUCCGGAAGAGGUUGGUGGAACUGCGAGUGUAGAGGUGAAAUUCGUAGAUAUUGGGAAGAACACCGAUGGCGAAGGCAGCCAUCUGGACCGACACUGACGCUGAGGCGCGAAAGCGUGGGGAGCAAACAGG